GCACUGCUAAGGAGUUCCACAAUAGGACGAAACGGCCGUCCAGUGC
rfam:Schistosoma mansoni, Puerto Rico, WGS project CABG01000000 data, contig: 0077